AUGUUGAUGGGGAGAAAAGAGGCUUGGUGAAGGAUAUUCAUAGGCUGGCUAAUUUAGGAGUGUGUCUUUUGGACUCUAAGGAUAGGGGAGUAAUUAUUCAGGAAGAGGUUAAGUCGUCUCUUUGUGUUGAGGUUAAGGAGAAGCAGGAUUUAUAUCCUAUACUUAUACAUAUUAAGGAUGUGUAGGUUAGCAAAAGGUUAUGGAUUUUG
rnacentral:lncRNA from 1 species